AAAUAGGCUCUUCUUUAUCGCUUCAUAUAUAUAAAAGUCUACAUCUAUCUCUUUCUAGGUCACUAGCUAGACUCUAGAUUAAGGAUUGAAAUUAGGGUUUCAUGUUUCCAGCAAAAUGGUGCCGUCUUGAGUCUUGAAAAGAUCCAAGACAAAACCAAAUCACUACAUACAUCCCU
rnacentral:misc_RNA from 1 species